UACAGAGGGUGCGAGCGUUAAUCGGAAUUACUGGGCGUAAAGCGCGCGUAGGUGGUUCGGUAAGUCGGGUGUUAAACCCCCAGGCUCAACCUGGGGACGCCACUCGAUACUGCUGUGACUAGAGUCCGGUAGGGGAGCGUGGAAUUCCUGGUGUAGCGGUGAAAUGCGCAGAUAUCAGGAGGAACACCAGCGGCGAAGGCGGCGCUCUGGGCCGGUACUGACACUGAGGAGCGAAAGCGUGGGUAGCAAACAGG
rnacentral:rRNA from 1 species